CCGGGCCGACGGUGGCUGCGCAGCUGCUGGGCCCGGGGGGUUGGGUCUGCUCGUCUGCGUCCGCGGUGCUCUCUGUCCAGUCCUCGUGUUCACCGCCUCAAGUGCGGCGAGGAGGUUGGACAGAUGCUGAGAUGCCCGCGCACGCCGACGAGGUCCCCCAGCUCCCCGGCCAGCAUCAGCCAGUCAGUGCUUGUGAUGCUAUUUUUUCCUGCUCCGUGCACCAACACGUGGGAGGAAUCAGCUCUCUAAGAACGAAUGACUGGCGAGACUAUUUGGUAGGAGUAUUCACUAAAGCUGGUCUUGGGAAGAUAUCAGUCAGCUUGUUGUAUGAGAAGACAUAAGAUGCCGUGGUAACUAAG